rnacentral:rRNA from 1 species
AACCCAUUGUUACAUUAUUAGACGGAAAGACCCCAAGAGCUUUUUUUGUGUUAGAUUUGUUUGGGGUAAAUGUAGAUUAUUCAUUUAUUUUUAGAUCCUUCAUGGAUAAAGGAUAAAGUUACCUUGGGGAUAACUGAGUAAAGGGCAGGGAGAGGUCCUAUCGAUCUGUUUAUUACUACCUCGAUGUUGGCUUGUUGAACCUUUUCGGUGUAGAGGCUGGAAAAGGAAGUCUGUUCGACUUUUAAAUCUUCAUGAGUUGAGUUAAGACCGGUGUAAGCCAGGUUGGUUCUUAUCUAUAAUUGGUUCUAGUUAGUACGAAAGGAUUAUUAGGAUACAGUGUUUCUGUACACAUAGGAAUAGAAAGUAUACA